GCCAGGGAGUGGAGUCGGUCGCCGUGCGGAGGGCACAGAAGACUGGAAGCGCAGGGCUGAGGCCAGGGCAAGGGUUUAGCGUGGCUAGUGAAGGCAGGGCAGGACGCACUGACAGGGCCCGGGCGGCCGGCGGCUGAGCGGUGGAGGAGGAGCCUCUCAGGGUAGGGGCGAGGCCGGCGACCCGGUAAGCCCUGAAGGCCCGCCGCGCUGGUCGGGGCCGGCAGUGACUGGCAGGUCAGGGUCGGGCUGGAGAUGGCGGCGCGCUGGGCAGCCAGGUGGAGCCCAGCAGGAAGGGGGCACAAAGAUUGUCCGAGGGGCUGGGUAGGGAUGACCCGCAGCUCGAGGCCGGGAAGGGAGGGAAGAGAUGCGGGAGGUAGGUGGCGUAGUGAGUGACAAGGCAGGUGGCGAGAGCACGAAGAAGGACCGUUUGUGGGCGGGGCGAGAGGACCGACGCCUCCGGGGCGCGGCUAAGGGGCCAUGAGUGACAGGCAGAGGGGUCGGCCCCAACAUCGCCCCUGCAACUCGGCAAAAAAAUUCCCCUCCGCUGAACGCUGCGAGCUUCGCGCUUUUCGUGGGCCAGGGCUACUCUUCAGGACAACCCUGGUCAGCAUCCAAGAGGUAAGGUGGUCCUCCUGGGGGGUCUCCUUGGUCAUGGGAAAGAGGGAGGAGGAGCUCCUGGGAGUAAGCACGGCCAGUCCUGGGAGCUGAGGGUUUCAUGCGGUGGAGAUCCAGGAGACUCCCACACUGCCUUCCCAUGGCUUUGCGUCUGUUGCUGUCGAAGUUCAGAGGGGAGAUGUGCACCUGCCCACCCUAGGGCCUCUAGCACCUUUCCUGAGUCCCUGCCCUUCCAGGCUCAUCUACCCCCUGGGGAUUAAGCCCCUCCAUCCAGACACUGGCUAGAGUGGGUCCCUGUGGCCUCACUGGCUACAGGAGCCCUGAUGGACAGGUGGGCACUGACACAUCUCAUAGGCCCAGAGCUGGCAGACAUAGAAAGCUCUGGACCCAGGCCACAGAAGGGACCCUCAGCCCUCACUCAUCAGUCCACCAUUAGUAUUCUAACAAUCCCACACCACAUUUCCUAAACUCAUGCUCUGUUCCAUUGAACUAUAUCACUGCCAUACUUACCUCUGGUGGCCUCCCAUUUUUAAAAUAAAAUCUAAGGGACACCUGGGUGGCUCA
rnacentral:lncRNA from 1 species